rnacentral:rRNA from 1 species
CGAAGGUUUGAUGAGGAACUAGGCACGCGAACAAGUAGGCCGGGACACGUGAAAUCCUGGUUGAAGAUGGGUGGACCAUCAUCCAAGGCUAAAUACUACUUACUGACCGAUAGUGAACCAGUACCGUGAGGGAAAGGUGAAAAGAACCCCGGAGAGGGGAGUGAAAUAGAAUCUGAAACCGUUUGCGUACAAGCAGUGGGAGCAUGGUUUAGGCUGUGUGACUGCGUACCUUUUGUAUAAUGGGUCAGCGAGUUACUUUCAGUGGCGAGGUUAACUGAAUAAGGGAGCCGUAGAGAAAUCGAGUCUGAAUAGGGCGAUAGUCGCUGGGAGUAGACCCGAAACCGGGCGAUCUAGCCAUGUGCAGGAUGAAGGUUGGGUAACACCAACUGGAGGUCCGAACCGGGUAAUGUUGAAAAAUUAUCGGAUGACGUGUGGCUAGGAGUGAAAGGCUAAUCAAGCCCGGAGAUAGCUGGUUCUCCCCGAAAGCUAUUUAGGUAGCGCCUCGUGAAUGAUUACUGGGGGUAGAGCACUGUUUCGGCUAGGGGGCUGUCAUGGCUUACCAAACCGAUGCAA